AAGGAGGAAAGAAAGAAAAAAAAUAGAUGAAGGAGGGGGAGAAAAACAUGAGGAAAAGCAGUGCGGGUAGGGCUUGGCUGCUUAGCUUAUUAAGGGAGCUGGAGCUUUGCUGGACGCAGUUUAUCCACCAGCAUCGGGCCUCUGUCCCUGCUUCUCCCGAAAUACCGUUCUGCAGAGGAGAAAAAGGAGGGGGGAAAUAAGGGAAAAAAAAAAAUAAGAAGAAGCUGGAGCCCAAGGAGUCGCUGUGCAAUUUAUUCCAAGGGGUGGCUGUUGAGAAGGCGGCAAUUUGCGGCGGCCGGGGGUUAUUUAGUGCGAUAUGAAAUCAAAUGAUCCUAUUGCUCAAAUAACAGUGUCUGGGAGGAGAAGCGAGCGCGCUCCAAAGGUAAUUGUCUCCAGAUGAUAUUCCUAUUAUCCCCCAAUCCCGGCCUAAACGCUGCCAGCGCCGGACUGGAAUCGAUACGGGGGGAGGACCGGGGGGAUCCCGGGGCCGGGGGGAGGCAUCCCCGGCACUGACCCCCCUCGGGAAGGGCGGCAGGGCUUCGGGAAAACCCUAAAUUCCCUGUGGCCGCUGCCUGUCCGUGCCUCGGCGGGAGCGGCGACACCGGCGGCGGAGCCGAGCGCGGAGCCCAGCAGCAGCAGCAGUGGCAAGCACUGAGAUCGAGCAGGAUGGAGUGGCCUGGCCAAGCCGUGGCCCUGCUGGCAGGAGCUGCAGGGUGGACAGCAGAGGGAACACAGCUUGGUGGUGAAGGUGCUGUUCUCCUGAAAGAGGAUCCUGGCAAAAACAUGGCUUGGUGCUGGGGACGGCUUGCUGAAGGCAAGACAGCAGCAGACACUUGAAUGGAGACUCCUCGUGUUUACAGCCUGGUCACACGAGUGACUGAGACCCAAAAUCUCCCUGACAUCCUCUCUGGAUGCUUGGCCUUGGAACAGCCUCGUUUGUGCCACACCUGCUCCCUUCUGCUCAUGGAGCCUUCUAUGCUGCACAGGACACUGGAAAAGCACUUGGAGAUGACUGGAGAAAGAUGGAGCUUCCUGGAAAAUGGUCUCUAAACCAGGCCCUUCCCUGUGCCGUGGCUUUUCUGGGGCUCAUUUAUAUCAGUGGUUCCUGCUGGAGGAACUCUGUCACCUUCCCCGAGGCAGCAGAGCUGAGGCCAGACGUGGUGUGCGCUGCUUGUGCAUCAGACAUGAGUAAUAACAAGUUUGGAGGAACUGUACCACUUAAUAAAAGCAUUUUAUUACAUUUAAAUGUAUUAAAAUGUGAACAUU